rnacentral:rRNA from 1 species
AACAAACGCUGGCGGCGUGCCUAAUACAUGCAAGUCGAACGAAGAAAGCCCUUCGGGGCAAGUAAGAGUGGCGCACGGGUGAGUAACGCGUGGAUAACGUGCCCUCUAGUGGGGAAUAACCCACCGAAAGGUGGGCUAAUACCGCAUAAGACUACGAUCUCUGCGGGGAUAGUAGUUAAAGAUUUAUCGCUAGAGGAUCGGUCCGCGUCCGAUUAGCUUGUUGGUGGGGUAAAAGCCUACCAAGGCGACGAUCGGUAACUGGUCUGAGAGGAUGAUCAGUCACACUGGAACUGAGACACGGUCCAGACUCCUACGGGAGGCAGCAGUAGGGAAUAUUGCACAAUGGAGGAAACUCUGAUGCAGCGACGCCGCGUGAGUGAUGAAGGCCUUCGGGUUGUAAAGCUCUGUCCUAGGGGAAGAUUAUGACGGUACCCUAGAAGAAAGGACCGGCUAACUUCG